GAUGAUGCCCAGCUUGCUGGGCGGAUUAGUGGCGAACGGGUGAGUAAUACGUGAGUAACCUGCCCUUGACUCUGGGAUAAGCCUGGGAAACUGGGUCUAAUACUGGAUACUACCUCUUACCGCAUGGUGGGUGGUGGAAAGGGUUUUACUGGUUUUGGAUGGGCUCACGGCCUAUCAGCUUGUUGGUGGGGUAAUGGCUCACCAAGGCGACGACGGGUAGCCGGCCUGAGAGGGUGACCGGCCACACUGGGACUGAGACACGGCCCAGACUCCUACGGGAGGCAGCAGUGGGGAAUAUUGCACAAUGGGCGGAAGCCUGAUGCAGCGACGCCGCGUGAGGGAUGACGGCCUUCGGGUUGUAAACCUCUUUCAGUAGGGAAGAAGCGAGAGUGACGGUACCUGCAGAAGAAGCGCCGGCUAACUACGUGCCAGCAGCCGCGGUAAUACGUAGGGCGCAAGCGUUGUCCGGAAUUAUUGGGCGUAAAGAGCUCGUAGGCGGUUUGUCGCGUCUGCUGUGAAAGCCCGGGGCUCAACCCCGGGUCUGCAGUGGGUACGGGCAGACUAGAGUGCAGUAGGGGAGACUGGAAUUCCUGGUGUAGCGGUGAAAUGCGCAGAUAUCAGGAGGAACACCGAUGGCGAAGGCAGGUCUCUGGGCUGUUACUGACGCUGAGGAGCGAAAGCAUGGGGAGCGAACAGGAUUAGAUACCCUGGUAG
rnacentral:rRNA from 1 species